AUUAUUAUUACCGUCAUUCCAGUCAUGGCGGGUUAGCCGACGUUUGCUUGAAAAACCCGCCCUGGAGGCGGGUUUU
rnacentral:sRNA from 1 species